UACGUAGGGUGCAAGCGUUAAUCGGAAUUACUGGGCGUAAAGCGUGCGCAGGCGGUUAUGUAAGACAGGUGUGAAAUCCCCGGGCUUAACCUGGGAACUGCAUUUGUGACUGCAUAGCUAGAGUACGGUAGAGGGGGAUGGAAUUCCGCGUGUAGCAGUGAAAUGCGUAGAUAUGCGGAGGAACACCGAUGGCGAAGGCAAUCCCCUGGACCUGUACUGACGCUCAUGCACGAAAGCGUGGGGAGCAAAAGGG
rnacentral:rRNA from 1 species